GGCGAACGGGUGAGUAACACGUGAGUAACCUGCCCUUAACUCUGGGAUAAGCCUGGGAAACUGGGUCUAAUACCGGAUAGGAGCGUCCACCGCAUGGUGGGUGUUGGAAAGAUUUAUCGGUUUUGGAUGGACUCGCGGCCUAUCAGCUUGUUGGUGAGGUAAUGGCUCACCAAGGCGACGACGGGUAGCCGGCCUGAGAGGGUGACCGGCCACACUGGGACUGAGACACGGCCCAGACUCCUACGGGAGGCAGCAGUGGGGAAUAUUGCACAAUGGGCGCAAGCCUGAUGCAGCGACGCCGCGUGAGGGAUGACGGCCUUCGGGUUGUAAACCUCUUUCAGUAGGGAAGAAGCGAAAGUGACGGUACCUGCAGAAGAAGCACCGGCUAACUACGUGCCAGCAGCCGCGGUAAUACGUAGGGUGCGAGCGUUAUCCGGAAUUAUUGGGCGUAAAGAGCUCGUAGGCGGUUUGUCGCGUCUGUCGUGAAAGUCCGGGGCUUAACCCCGGAUCUGCGGUGGGUACGGGCAGACUAGAGUGCAGUAGGGGAGACUGGAAUUCCUGGUGUAGCGGUGGAAUGCGCAGAUAUCAGGAGGAACACCGAUGGCGAAGGCAGGUCUCUGGGCUGUAACUGACGCUGAGGAGCGAAAGCAUGGGGAGCGAACAGGAUUAGAUACCCUGGUAGUCCAUGCCGUAAACGUUGGGCACUAGGUGUGGGGACCAUUCCACGGUUUCCGCGCCGCAGCUAACGCAUUAAGUGCCCCGCC
rnacentral:rRNA from 2 species